GAUGAACGCUGGCGGCGUGCCUAAUACAUGCAAGUCGAGCGAACAGAUGAGGAGCUUGCUCCUCUGACGUUAGCGGCGGACGGGUGAGUAACACGUGGAUAACCUACCUAUAAGACUGGGAUAACUUCGGGAAACCGGAGCUAAUACCGGAUAAUAUAUUGAACCGCAUGGUUCAUUAGUGAAAGACGGUUUUGCUGUCACUUAUAGAUGGUUCCGCGCCGCAUUAGCUAGUUGGUAAGGUAACGGCUUACCAAGGCGACGAUGCGUAGCCGACCUGAGAGGGUGAUCGGCCACACUGGAACUGAGACACGGUCCAGACUCCUACGGGAGGCAGCAGUAGGGAAUCUUCCGCAAUGGGCGAAAGCCUGACGGAGCAACGCCGCGUGAGUGAUGAAGGUCUUCGGAUCGUAAAACUCUGUUAUUAGGGAAGAACAAAUGUGUAAGUAACUAUGCACGUCUUGACGGUACCUAAUCAGAAAGCCACGGCUAACUACGUG
rnacentral:rRNA from 1 species